rnacentral:rRNA from 1 species
GUGCCAGCAGCCGCGGUAAUACGGAGGGUGCAAGCGUUAUCCGGAUUCACUGGGUUUAAAGGGUGCGUAGGCGGGUGUGUAAGUCAGUGGUGAAAUCCCAAAGCUUAACUUUGGAACUGCCGUUGAUACUAUACAUCUUGAAUGCCCGGGAGGUGAGCGGAAUAUGUCAUGUAGCGGUGAAAUGCUUAGAUAUGACAUAGAACACCGAUUGCGAAGGCAGCUCACUACAGGGGUUAUUGACGCUGAGGCACGAAAGCGUGGGGAUCAAACAGGAUUAGAUACCCUGGUAGUCC